CACGGGGGGAGCAAGCGUUGUUCGGAAUCACUGGGCGUAAAGGGCGCGUAGGCGGUCAGGUAAGUGAGAUGUGAAAUGCCCCGGCUCACCCGGGGACCGGCAUCUCAUACUGCUUGGCUUGAGUACGGGAGGGGAGAAUGGAAUUCCCGGUGUAGCGGUGAAAUGCGUAGAUAUCGGGAGGAACGCCGGUGGCGAAAGCGAUUCUCUGGCCCGUUCCUGACACUGAGGCGCGAAAGCUAGGGGAGCAAACAGG
rnacentral:rRNA from 1 species